rnacentral:rRNA from 1 species
AGUGACGUCAAGUCCUCAUGGCCUUUAUGACCAGGGCUACACACGUACUACAAUGGCCGAUACAAAGGGCAGCGACACUGCGAGGUGAAGCCAAUCCCGUAAAAAUCGGUCUCAGUCCGGAUUGGAGUCUGCAACUCGACUCCAUGAAGUUGGAAUCGCUAGUAAUCGUGGAUCAGCAUGCCACGGUGAAUACGUUCCCGGGCCUU